GAUGAACGCUGGCGGCGUGCCUAAUACAUGCAAGUCGAGCGAACAGACGAGGAGCUUGCUCCUCUGACGUUAGCGGCGGACGGGUGAGUAACACGUGGAUAACCUACCUAUAAGACUGGGAUAACUUCGGGAAACCGGAGCUAAUACCGGAUAAUAUAUUGAACCGCAUGGUUCAAUAGUGAAAGACGGUUUUGCUGUCACUUAUAGAUGGAUCCGCGCCGCAUUAGCUAGUUGGUAAGGUAACGGCUUACCAAGGCAACGAUGCGUAGCCGACCUGAGAGGGUGAUCGGCCACACUGGAACUGAGACACGGUCCAGACUCCUACGGGAGGCAGCAGUAGGAAAUCUUCCGCAAUGGGCGAAAGCCUGACGGAGCAACGCCGCGUGAGUGAUGAAGGUCUUCGGAUCGUAAAACUCUGUUAUUAGGGAAGAACAAAUGUGUAAGUAACUAUGCACGUCUUGACGGUACCUAAUCAGAAAGCCACGGCUAACUACGUG
rnacentral:rRNA from 1 species